AUACGAGGGGUGCAAGCGUUAAUCGGAAUUACUGGGCGUAAAGCGUUCGUAGGCGGUUAUUUAAGCAAGAUGUGAAAGCCCAGGGCUCAACCUUGGAACUGCAUUUUGAACUGGGUAACUAGAGUACUGUAGAGGGUGGUGGAAUUUCCAGUGUAGCGGUGAAAUGCGUAGAGAUUGGAAGGAACAUCAGUGGCGAAGGCGGCCACCUGGACAGAUACUGACGCUGAGGAACGAAAGCGUGGGGAGCGAACAGGAUUAGAUACCCUAGUAGUCC
rnacentral:rRNA from 1 species